UACGAAGGGGGCUAGCGUUGCUCGGAAUCACUGGGCGUAAAGCGCACGUAGGCGGCUUUCUAAGUCAGGGGUGAAAUCCUGGAGCUCAACUCCAGAACUGCCUUUGAUACUGGAGAGCUUGAGUUCGGGAGAGGUGAGUGGAACUGCGAGUGUAGAGGUGAAAUUCGUAGAUAUUCGCAAGAACACCAGUGGCGAAGGCGGCUCACUGGCCCGAUACUGACGCUGAGGUGCGAAAGCGUGGGGAGCAAACAGGAUUAGAAACCCCCGUAGUCC
rnacentral:rRNA from 1 species